ACAAACUUCGCAAGAUCUUACGUAGUCUCUAACCUUUGCAUAAAGGUUUUUAUGGUAAAAAAUUUUACUAAUUUCACGAAAGGUUUUUAUUACCGAAUUAUGUGUUGAGUACUUGGAGUCGUGAAAGUACUUCAAAACAUAAUUCAGCAAGGUGUCUGGUAAUACAAUUCUUCUCAGUUUAUUCUUACCCACGAAUUUGAAAAGCAAACCGUCCUUUAUGCAAAAAUUAGAGACAUCCAUCUGGGAUCGUAUGUUCCGAUAGAUGAUUUCGCACUCGGGCGAGUUUCGCUGUUCGUUUUUUAUGGAUAAAAAGUCGAAAUUGGAUUUACUCAAAACGUUGAGAGAAUUAAUUGAAUUUACGUUAUUUGUUCAAACAUAUCCGGGAUCGUCACUAUGUUUAGCUUUCAUUUUUACAAAUUUAGCGUCAGCAACAUCGUCGCUCUGUUGAAAAUGAGUACAGUUUACAUCCUGUGAUUCAUAGAGUCUGGAGAGAAAAUCGGCCAUAUUAUUAUGUUGGCCCUUAAUAUGUUCGGGCGUGAAAUCAAAUCUGGAAAUUUUAAGAAUCCAGCGCGAGAGUUUAUUGAAUCUGGCCGGAGAGUUGAAUAACCAAAGGAGAGAACUGCAAUCGGUCUGAAGCGUAAAUUUACGAUCGAGAUUUAAUUUUCUGGAGCAGUACAUGAUUGGGUG